rnacentral:rRNA from 1 species
ACGUAGGUCUCGAGCGUUAUCCGGAUUUACUGGGCGUAAAGUGUCCGUAGCCUGAUAUAUAAGUCUGUUUUCAAAUACUCUGCCUCAAUCAGAGAAAGGGGAUAGAUACUGUAUAUCUAGAAAUUGUUAGAGGUUAGUGGAAUUUCCGGUGGAGCGGUGAAAUGUGUUGAUAUCGGAAAGAAUGCCGAAAGCGAAAGCAGCUAACUAUGAUAAAUUUGACGGUGAUGGACGAAAGCUUGGGGAGCAAACGG